rnacentral:tRNA from 1 species
UAAAGACUGCGGGAUCACCCU